GAGGGUAUAGUUCAGUGGUAGAGCGCAUGCUUAGCAUGCACAAGGUCUUGGGUUCGAUCCCCAGUGUCUCCA
rnacentral:tRNA from 1 species